AUGCUGUAUCUUAAGACAGAACUAUGCUGGAAAUGUUCCUGCAGCUGUUCCUUGGGAAACAUCUGUGGUGCUGGGCGUGGAAAUUCGUGCAUCUCCAUUCACCCUUCACGGAGCACUUUGUCUUGUGAAACAGAGGUAAACUGGAACAUGUGUUCCACUCUGUGCUUUCCUACAGCACCUGGAGGAGGAACAAUAUCCACACUCCAGAUCUGUGAUGGCAAGACACACUUCGGAAUGCGGGGAAGAAAAGAAGGGAGCAACCACUGAGAGGAUUUGAAUACCAGAGACUGGAGCUGAGAGACUCAUCCCGUAAACAUUACCUGAAUGAUGUCACUGCACGGAGCUGGCUGGAGGUCGGUUCCAUUAACAGCAGUUGUUCAAACUGGAGCAGAUCCAUGCCUGAAACAGCUUUUAUCCUCCCCAGAAAUCACUCAGCAUGCCAGCUCGUUCACUGUGGGAUAGGAGGGACACUCAGGUGUAUAUGCUGGGAGCUCCGGCCCACGUCAGGAAUACCCUGGGGAAAAGUCGUGCGUGUUUAUGGCAAUCUCCGAGUCCUUGGCAUCAAAAUAAACUUGAGGAAAGUGUUGGCCGUCA
rnacentral:lncRNA from 1 species